CCGACGGUGAGUAACACGUAUCCAACCUGCCGUCUACUCUUGGCCAGCCUUCUGAAGGAAGAUUAAUCCAGGAUGGCAUCAUGAGUUCACAUGUCCGCAUGAUUAAAGGUAUUUUCCGGUAGACGAUGGGGAUGCGUUCCAUUAGAUAGUAGGCGGGGUAACGGCCCACCUAGUCAACGAUGGAUAGGGGUUCUGAGAGGAAGGUCCCCCACAUUGGAACUGAGACACGGUCCAA
rnacentral:rRNA from 1 species